rnacentral:misc_RNA from 1 species
GAUGAAGAACGUAGCGAAACGCGAUAAGUAAUGUGAAUUGCAGAAUUCAGUGAAUCAUCGAGUCUUUGAACGCACAUUGCGCCCCCUGGUAUUCCGGGGGGCAUGCCUGUCCGAGCGUCAUUGCCGCCCUCAAGCACGGCUUGUGUGUUGGGCCCCCGCCCCCCGGCUUCGGGGGGCGGGCCCGAAAGGCAGCGGCGGCACCGCGUCCGGUCCUCGAGCGUAUGGGGCUUCGUCACCCGCUCUGUAGGCCCGGCCGGCGCCCGCCGGCGACCCCAAUCAAUCUUUCCAGGUUGACCUCGGAUCAGGUAGGGAUACCCGCUGAACUUAAGCAUAUCAAUAAGCGGAGGA